rnacentral:rRNA from 1 species
GACGAACCGUGCGAACGUUGUUCGGAAUCACUGGGCUUAAAGGGAGCGUAGGCGGGCUAUCAAGUCUGGGGUGAAAUCCCGCGGCUCAACCGCGGAACUGCCUCAGAUACUGACGGCCUCGAGGGGGAUAGGGGCAUGCGGAACUGUAGGUGGAGCGGUGAAAUGCGUAGAGAUCGGAAAGAACACCAACGGCGAAAGCACUCUGCUGGGCCGACACUGACACUGAGAGACGAAAGCUAGGGGAGCGAAUGGG